GGAGGAGGUGAAUGUGGAGUGAUACAGAAACUUCCAGGAAACAGAUAUGUAAUCCGUUUCAAGGACAAAGAAGACCAGGAAAGGGUUUUGCAGAGACAGUUUCACACCAUCUCUCUUCCUGAUGGAGAAAUUCGACUGACUGUGAGUCGGAUCAAUCCAACAGAAACACCGGAUCAACCAAAGACCAGUCAGACACAGGUCAGUUUCA